UACGUAGGGUGCAAGCGUUGUCCGGAAUUAUUGGGCGUAAAGAGCUCGUAGGCGGUUUGUCGCGUCUGGUGUGAAAAUCCAGGGCUUAACCCUGGACCUGCAUCGGGUACGGGCAGACUAGAGUGCGGUAGGGGAGAUCGGAGUUCCUGGUGUAGCGGUGAAAUGCGCAGAUAUCAGGAGGAACACCGGUGGCGAAGGCGGAUCUCUGGGCCGUAACUGACGCUGAGGAGCGAAAGCAUGGGGAGCGAACAGG
rnacentral:rRNA from 1 species